rnacentral:rRNA from 1 species
AUUGAACGCUGGCGGCAUGCUUUACACAUGCAAGUCGAACGGUAACAGGCCUUCGGUGCUGACGAGUGGCGAACGGGUGGAGUAAUGCAUCGGAACGUGCCCAAUCGUGGGGAGUAACGUAGCGAAAGUUACGCUAAUACCGCAUAAGCCCUGAGGGGGAAAGGCAGGGGAGUCGCAAGACCUUGCGCGAAUGGAGCGGCCGAUGUCAGAUUAGCUAGUUGGUGGGGUAAAGGCCUACCAAGGCGACGAUCUGUAGCGGGUCGUGAGAGGAUGAUCCGCCACACUGGGACUGAGACACGGCCCAGACUCCUACGGGAGGCAGCAGUGGGGAAUUUUGGUACGAAUAGGCGGCGAACGACCGUCG